UCCCCCGUGGCGCAAUUGGCUAGCGCGUCAGACUGUUAUCCAGCAGAUGAUCUGGAGGCUGGUGGUUCAAGCCCACCCGGGGGAG
rnacentral:tRNA from 1 species